GGGAGUUGGCUGACGUGCUGGAGCGCGAACAACACAUAGCACCAACAGUUCUCCUGGCGCCAAGGGAGUCUAUCAAUACGAACAGAAAGGCCACAUAUGGUGGUGAGCUUCGACAGCAUAGAGAAGCCAGGGCCAUCCCACCAGACAAGCAGAGGUCUAGCAAGGAAAAGAAAAUCCAGUACCUCCCUGGAGGCUCUUGUUGAAGAAUAUACGCCUGCAAAGCACGAGAGGGAAGUGCGCUUCGAGAAGGGAAGGGCAAUUCUGGAGCCCCUCGUUGGUGCCAUAGAGGCAUGUGCCGCCAUCAAAUCAGUUUUGAGCGUGAAUGAAUGUUUCUUUUCUAUUAAACUCCACAGGAAUGCUUCA